rnacentral:rRNA from 1 species
GAGGAGCUUGCUCCUUGGGUGGCGAGUGGCGGACGGGUGAGGAAUACAUCGGAAUCUACUUUUUCGUGGGGGAUAACGUAGGGAAACUUACGCUAAUACCGCAUACGACCUACGGGUGAAAGCAGGGGACCUUCGGGCCUUGCGCGAUUGAAUGAACCGAUGUCGGAUUAGCUAGUUGGCGGGGUAAAGGCCCACCAAGGCGACGAUCCGUAGCUGGUCUGAAAGGAUGAUCAGCCACACUGGAACUGAGACACGGUCCACACUCCUACGGGAGGCAGCAGUGGGGAAUAUUGGACAAUGGGCGCAAGCCUGAUCCAGCCAUACCGCGUGGGUGAAGAAGGCCUUCGGGUUGUAAAGCCCUUUUGUUGGGAAAGAAAUCCAGCCGGCUAAUACCUGGUUGGGAUGACGGUACCCAAAGAAUAACCACCGGCUAACUUCGUGCCACCAGCCGCGGUAAUACGAAGGGUGCAAGCGUUACUCGUAAUUACUGGGCGUAAAGCGUGCGUAGGUGGUUGUUUAAGUCUGUUGUGAAAGCCCUGGGCUCAGCCUGGGAACUGCAGUGGAAACUGGACAACUAGAGUGUGGUAGAGGGUAACGGAAUUCCCGGUGUAUCAGUGAAAUGCGUAUAGAUCGGGAGGAACAUCCAUGGCGAAGGCACCUACCUGGACCAACACUGACACUGAGGCACGAAAGCGU